AUGAGAGAACAAGCAAGGGGGGAGAAGAGGGGCCAUCCGAGGGAGAACAGAUGCGCCACACAAGAAAGAGAAGAGGAGGGGCAAGGGACAGAGAGAGAGAGAGAGAGGGAGAGGAAUACUUCUCAAAAAGAAAGGGGAAAGAGGAAUUGCUGCACGGAAGUCAGUCGUGUGGAGACUCUGCACUCCGUGAAGGAGGGGGAAGAAAGCUUGAGGAGUGGUGGAACUCACCACCAUGGCCGUGGUUAUGUCGCCGUUGCAAAAGGAUUCGCAGUCGGUCGGGCGGCGGGCGGCAUUAGCGGCUACUGUGUGAAGGGGGAGGAGGAGGCGCCUUAG
rnacentral:rRNA from 1 species